GAGAGUGGUGCAUGCUAUCAAAGUGACACUGGGAUAAAAUAUACGAAGCCCAGUGAACCCAUCAUGACUACCCAUCUGAUAAGGGUAUACCAGACACAUGCAUCACAACCAUAUGUGCUCGACAUGAUGAUAUCAUAUCGAGAUAAACGGCACAUGAUCUUACAGCUGGGGCCCAGUUAAAUUUUUUUUCUGGUCAAGUAGCCCAUCCCGCUCAAAAGGUCCCUGAAUAAGGAUUGUUUAAGGAUGCUG